UUUGGGUGUGAUUCCAUUAGAGGCAUUACACUUGUGGUGCUAAGCUUCCAAGAAGAUCAAGAUCAAGAUCAAGGGAAUUAUCAAUUGUUUACUAUAACAAUUGAAAGGUAUGUAAUUACUAAACCCUAGUUUGUUAAUUUUGAAAUUAGACUCUUUCCUCUAGGGUUCUUAUUUUGCAAUUCAAAGUUGUAUGUUCAAUAGCUAAAACAUAGAUCCAAAGUAGGUUGCAUGUGAACUUAGGAAUUGUAUUCUAGGUUAUUUGUUUUACCUAAAACCCAUCAGUGGUAUCAGAGCCAUUGUUAUUUUAAACUGAAUUGCUAUAAUAGUUGAAUUGCAAAUGAGGGUUUAUAUCCAUUAAACCCUAAAGGCCAAAAUUUUCGAUUUUAGGGUUUUGGUGCAAAGGGUUUUCGAAAACCCUAGCCUCCAUGAACCCUAGUCGAAAUUAGGGUUAGGGUUUCCAAAACCCUAGCCUCCUCCCCUUGUAAUUUCGAAAUAUGCUCCCCCUUUUAAGGUUUCUUUGUUUUGGAUAAUAGUUGCCUUAUUGGAUAAUUGAGAUAAAUAAGGAAAUUAUCCUAUCCCCAUAUUUUCGAAAUCUAGAAGGGAUAUGGAUUAAGAUUAAAUUAAGUGUUUGAUUUAAUUAGAUAAUCCUUACUAGAUUUAAUUAAUUAAUUAAAAGUUAAUUAAUAGACAAAUAUUAAAUCUAGUUAUUUGGUUGAGAAAAUUAAGGAAAUUAUCCUAUCCCCAUAUUUUUGAAAUCUAGAAGGGAUAUGGAUUAGGAUUAAGUUAAUUGUUUAAUUUAAUUAGAUAAUCCUUAAAAGAUUUAAUAAAUUAAUUAAAAGUUAAUUAAUAGAUAAAUAUUAAAUCUAAUUAAUUGGUUUACUUAAAUUUAAAAUUUAAUAGUUUAAAUUUCGAAAAAUUUAUAUAAACCCUUGGAGUUUUAAAAUGUUUUAAAACACACCUUAUAUGUAUAUUAUAAUUAAAAGUUAAAUAUUAUAUAUGUAUAAGAAUAUGGUCAGUCAAAUCGCUAGUAUGCCUCAUUCACGAAGCUAAUCUAUAAGGGGGGUAUAAGGAAACUGCCUAUAAAAUGGUAGUUGAAUGGGUGUCCACUCUCACCCACCGCUUCCUUGAUUAGUGGAGGGUCGUUAGCAGAACGGAUUUGAUAGGACAACUACAUCUCAUUAAAAGUAUAAUGUUAUUAAAGAAAGUACUAGAACAUUAUUUUAUAAAAUCCCAACUCUAGUUACUUUAGAAAAAAUGUGAAAAGUAUGCUAAUCCAUGAAAUUGCACAUAAUGCUUUAUUGGUCGUUAGUGGAGCGUGUGUGGUUAACCGGCACACUAAAAGGCACUAAUAAAGAGUAGUAAUGGGUAUCUCAUAAUUGUCAUUUUGAUGGAGCGUGUGUGGUUUACCGGCACAUCAAUAGUUAAUGAUAAAGACAAUGAGGUUACCAAGCACAUUUGCAUGGUUAUUCACAUCUUGUUUGUGAUCCUCGGCAUCCCAGUCACAAAUAGAAGAGCAUAAUCCGAGAUUAAAACAUGCCAUUGAAUAGUUUCAAUGUAUCUCAAAGAAUCUAGGAGUUUCCAAUACAUUUAAAACUUAACCUUCUUUUUCGUUUUUCAUGGUGGAAAUUGGUAAAUCGUCAUUUACCUACCUUCAAAUAUUUUGUAAAUUGGAUUACGGCAUCCCUCUUCCAAAUUGUGGAAUGUUGUGUUGGAUCCUAGCCUUGAUGUUUCUUUUGGGUGUUACAUCAAGGAUUCUUAUUAACUAACUUGAAUUUUCUCCCAUUUUUGUCGAUGUCUGAAUCUAACCAUGGUCUUCCCGAAUCUAAAGGAAAAACUAUUCCUGCUCAAAGUCUGUUCCACUAUGAUGGUGAAAGAUAAAUCCCUACCAUGUGGACUAACUUGAUUCCACUUCCUCCACCUCCUCCCGUUGUUCUCCCAAACCCACAAGUUCGAAGGCUUGAAAAGUUCAAGCUCACUCAAGCCCUUUUGGCAAGUAAACACGAAGAUGGGAAACCUGUGUGUGCACACGUCUUAGAGAUGAAGUCACACAUUGAUAGGUUAAGCAUGUUUGGUGUCGAGAUUUCAAGUGAGUUGGCUGUUGACUGGGUUCUUCAGUCACUUCCUGAAUCAUAUAGUGAGUUCGUUAGAGAGUACUAUAUGAUGGAUCACGACGUGACCCUCAUUGAUCUCACCUAUUUGCUUAUAGCUGUUGAAUCAGCAAUGAUUUGGUGUGCUGAUCAAGCAAAUUUGUCUGAUGAAUCAAACUCCCAAACUUCAAGGGACAUUGAAAAUGAUGACAUUGGAGAUCUAGAAAAGGUAAACUUUGAGAUUGUUCCUUGUGUCAUUCCAAAAGAGUUCAUUUGCUUUUAUUACCAAGAGAAGGGGCAUUGGAGACGAAGCUGCCCUAUCUACCUGAGAGAUUUAAGAGAUGGGAGAGUCUAGUGUUAUGACUCAUCCUUGGGUAUAAAAUCCACUAUCUAACUCCAUCAAGUUCCUAUUCAUUGAUUCUUAAUACAUAAUGUGAUAAGAUUACAUUUGAAUGUUUUGCAGGAUCAGAGAAAAGAGAGGAAGCUUGAUGGAAAAGCAAGAUGAGUCUGAUCACGAAGAAAUGGAUCACCGUCGCAUGGAUUCGAAGAUCAGAUUUUGAGCUUAGAAAGUUAUGAUAGAUUUGUUAGGAAUAAAUACAUAGUUUUUCAGUUGAUUUUGCAUUGUAAGGACAAGUUUUCCGCUGCUUUUAUGAAUAAAAUAAAAUUUUUGGUUUGAAUAAUUUUAUAUAUCCUUGCAAUGAAGUCGUUAUGAAAAAUUGAUGUAUUGUUAUCAAUAAUGGAUUUGAUUCUUAAUUAUGUCAUUUGUGGAAAUGUCGAGAAUUUGCCAAAUGAGGAAAGAUUCUCAUCGCCCAAGCUUCAAUUGGACAGAAACUUGGAGUCAUGCAACUUGAUUGCGUGAUGAAUGAGAAACUUCAUAUUUGGAAAUUAGACUAAUUCUUUGACAAAGUGUCAAGAGAAGGACUAGGAGAUCAAGUACACUAGGUUGUACAUUGAUCAAGUUCACCACGAGAGUGAUAAAGAUAUUCGUCAUGAUUUACUAAAGUUUAGUGAAUAUGGUUAUGCUUAUAAGAUUAAAUAUAAUUCUGAGUUGAUUGAAAGAAUUUCAAUCAAUGGCAGAACGAAUAAGAAGAAUCAAGUAGGCAGAAAGAUAAAAGUAUCUCUAUUCUAAGAAGAAGGGAGAGUAACUUUUAUUGUGUUUUAUGAUAAGUCUUAAUGAUUAGGAACCAUAUCUCAAUUGAUCCUCUAAGUAAGUCUUAGUACAUUUGCAUGUCUAAGAAGAGGAAUCGAGAAUUGUGGAAAUGGUUAAAAUCAAGAAGUCAAUCAUACUUCGUUCCAACAUCAAGUCUUAGAGUUAUACUCCAAGAUUGUGAAUUGAGUGACAAGUCUCAAGAAGGUUUAUAACACUCAUCAAAUGUGGAAUUUGGAAAAGUUUUCUUAUUCUUGCACAUUUAAAAUUUGUAAGUUGUGAUGUCUUGGAUAAGACAAAGACCAACUAGGACAAAUUUUGUGAAGUGUUUUGUCUUGAUAAGAACCACACUAACUCUUGAAUAUUUGUUUUGUCGAGGAAAGUUUCCUGACAAGAGAAUCGUAUAUGUCAAGAGGUCAGUGGGAGUUUUAAUGAUCUUGAAAAAGGUUUCAAGAACUAAUCAAGAAUAAACCUUAUCGAUCAUCACUAGCACACGACUUGAGGUUUAUAGCCUAUCGUGGAUGACAUACUCCUUUUCUAUGCCAUUCCAAUUGAAUUAAUUAUGCAAGUGAGUUCUAUGAGUUCUCAUGUGAAUGCAUAAAGACAUAGCACCUUGAUCAAUGGAAAGUACAUUGAUAAGUAAGGAUGAGUUGAUAAACCACUUGGAAGACAUGGUGGGCACUCGUGUUACCAUGAGGCAAGAAAUCGAGAUUGAGAAAGUUCAGCCCAUAUGAGUUUGGCUUUCUCACAAACUUUGGUUUUUACAAAUUCACAUGGAUAGGAACUUAUACACCACAAAAUCUAAGUGUCAUAAGAUUACCUCCUUCAUGAAAAUGACUGUGAGGAAAUGCUUUCACUAAGAGAGAUUUUAAGAAGAUAGCAAUUGUGGAAAUUGUAUUCUCAAAUUCGAUUAUGGUUACGGCAUCCCUUUCCAUAGUUCGAAUUAUGAGAUUUGACAAUUAGUCUGAACAUUUGGGACUUAGUGACAUAAGUUCUGAAUUUGUCUAGACACACAUAUGAGCUUUCUAAGGCAAAGGUGUAUGAUUUUAAGAAGCUUUGAUAAAGGCUUAUCAAAGCAUUAGGUAUUAGAAAUAUGAACUUAAGGAAUUCAAUAAGCAUUGUUCUCUAGAAGUUUAAUUGUUUUCUGAAUACAUGUCAAAGCUAGUGGGAGCAUAAGUGUUAUGCUGGUAAUAAAAUAAUCAUCAUGUUAGUGGGAGCAUGAUCAUUAUGGUAAAGUAUUGCGAGUUAACAAUAUUAAUUAUAGAAAACAAAGAUUCACUUUGCAAAGUUGCAAUGGUUGAAACGUUUUUUGGCUAUAACUAAGGGAGAGAAUAUUAUACUUUAUUUCAAAAUUCUAAAGCUUAGAUCGAGAAAUGUUAAUAAAUUUAGUCAAGGAUAUAUAUAGUACAUUCUCAAAUUCGAUUAUGAUCACGGCAUCCCUCUUCAUAGAUCGAAUUGUGGGAACAGGACACAUAAAAUAUUAUGGUAGAAGGAUGAUAAAGUAUCACGUCUUUAUGUGAGACAUUAUGCAUUGUGUCCAAUACGCUUCGGGUAUAGGAUUGAUUGCAUAUGCUGUAAUAUUUGACCAUUCUAAAAUUUUCCAAAUGCCUAGGGUAUUAAGAGGGAAAAAGGAUCUAGAAUCGGUUCUGACUAAAAUAAUUAAACAACUAUCAAAGGAAAAUCUGAGGUUCACUCAGGAUUUGUCGCUUGUGAGUAGUUGGAAGUAUAGUAAUGAAUGGGCCAUGUCGACAUUAUUAUGAAUAGAUAAGAUUCUAUUAAGAAUAAGUCGUCAUAUGGCAAAUAUGGAAAUGUCUCCAUAUUGGGAGUUGGAUGUUGAGAGUCUGUGUCUAGAUUAGAAACUUUUAUGCAAGAAGGAUGUUCAAAGGAAUGUACUUUGAAUGUGAGACUUCACGUCUAUGGAAUUAUCUUGUAACAAUUUCCGAUAGAGUACUUUGUAAUUUCAUUGGCCAAGUCUUGGUGACUUUUGUGCUGUGACUUUGCGAAAGGAUCGUUGCAUAAAAUGUUAGAAUCUAGCAUAUUCUAGUAGUUGCAAGAACCUUGUGUUCUAACACUAAUAAUAGGGAUUGGGAAUUGUGAAAUGAGCAUCAUUGGAAAGGUUUUUCAAUUGAUUUAUUUCACAAAGUAUGGACCAUAGGAAACCAAAGUGUGCAUGCUUGGAGCAUGGGACAAUUGUGGUUAUAAUUCAAGUAAUAAGUUGAUUUUCUGAAACUGUAAGCAAUGAAUAAUGAGUAAUCAAUAUGGUGUUUAAAUAAAAGUGUUUUUAUUUACGCUCAAAAGCUUUGGGGCCAUAUAGGAUUAAUAUUAUUAUUGCGUUUCACUUUGCAUGUUUUGACUUCCCGAAUAAUAAGAUUAUUCAAACUCCACAGUCGCUCGUACUUUUGGAAGUAAGUAGUGAAUCAAGACUGUCAUGAACUGGAUUGUAGAUUGUCUAAGGAUAGACAUGGCAAUAGAUUUGCUGCAACGUUCAUGAGUACUCAGAAAUUGAGAUUUGAGUAUUGGAUAAACCCACGCUCAGAGUAUUACUUCAUGGAAUUCAUCACGAGUAAUACUGAGACGAUAAUAUCUAUGAUCUUGAAAUAGAGAUAUAUGAGUUGUAAUUUGCAAGUCGGCUAUACAUUGGUGAUAUGAAAACGCAUCAGUAACUUGGUGUUAUAAAACAUAUUGUCAUGUAUGGUUUGAUGAGUAAAAGAUACAAGCAUAUGAGUCAAUGUUUAUUCGUUCCUUUUGCCCUAACGGGAAAAUCGAUAUCUGUGGGCCCCUCGAUGAUUUGGUGUUGACUUAUGCGCUGGGCCCAGCCAGGACUGAAUUGAUGUGUUCGAUUAGAAGUCCUAUAUCAUCACAAAUCAGAAAUCGGGAAACAUAGAUUCUGGACAAAGAGAUUGAUUGUAUUCCAUGUCUUAUGUCUGGGGAUAUCUUGCAGAACGAAGGAUUAUAUGAUCACUUAUCUUAGGACUCGUAACUGACUGGGUCAGAGUUCGGCAGCAGCUUUUUGGAAGCUACAAUUUGCUGGUCAAAUUUAGAAGGCAUACUAGCAAUUAUAGUUACAGACUUAUCCAAGUGGGAGACUGUUGGAUUAGGUGUCUAAGCCCAUAACUAUAAUUGGUAUGUACUUGAAUUGAUAGCAGCACAGUCCUUUUGGGUUGCCCUCAAACCUAGCAACCGGACAAGGAAAUUAUGAAAGGAGAGAUAUUAAUUUAUUAUAAGAUUAAUAAAUUAAUAUAAAUGAAUUUAUUAAUAUGUUAAAAGAUUAAUAUAUUAAUAAGAAAUCAUUUUGUUUAAUUAAUUGUUAGCCAGAAAUUAAUUAGAAUUAAUUUUGGGGUUAAAAGAAUUAAUUAUAAAGUGCAGGGACUAGUUUGCAAUUAUCUAAUAGUUGAGUGGAAGGCUCCAGAACCUCCUUGGAAGGAGGUGGACGAAAUCUAUAGGGGAAACCCUAAGGAUUUCGUCCAAGGGGGCUUGGAUAAGGCCUUUGGCUUUGCUUAGGCCCUAAGCAAGGAGCAUUAGGGUUUUUCCUAAACCCUAGAACCCUCAACUAUAUAAGGAGCCUCCUGGUUCACAUUUUGGUCACUCUUUCUUUGGAAUAAACCAUUAGGGCCGAAAAUUGCAUACUCCCUCUCUCUCCUUCUACUUUCCUUCUUGCUAGUUUGGGUGUGGUUCCAUUAGAGGCAUUACACUUGUGGUGCUAAGCUUACAAGAAUAUCAAGAUCAAGAUCAAGGGAAUUAUCAAUUGUUUACUAUAACAAUUGAAAGGUAUGUAAUUACUAAACCCUAGUUUGUUAAUUUUGAAAUUAGCCUCUCUCCUCUAGGGUUCUUAUUUUGCAAUUCAAAGUUGUAUGUUCAAUAGCUAAAACAUAGAUCCAAAGUAGGUUGCAUGUGAACUUA
rnacentral:lncRNA from 1 species